rnacentral:tRNA from 1 species
AUUUUAUUAGUAUAUAAAAAAGUACAUUUAACUUCCAAUUAAAAAGAAAUACAAUUAUAAAAUA